rnacentral:rRNA from 1 species
AGCGAACGCUGGCGGCAGGCUUGACACAUGCAAGUCGAACGGUCCUUCGGGAUAGUGGCGGACGGGUGAGUAACACGUGGGAACGUACCCUUAGGUUCGGAACAACACAGGGAAACUUGUGCUAAUACCGGAUAAGCCCUUCGGGGGAAAGAUUUAUCGCCUUUGGAGCGGCCCGCGUCUGAUUAGCUUGUUGGUGAGGUAAUGGCUCACCAAGGCUACGAUCAGUAGCUGGUCUGAGAGGAUGGCCAGCCACACUGGGACUGAGACACGGCCCAGACUCCUACGGGAGGCAGCAGUGGGGAAUCUUGCGCAAUGGGCGAAAGCCUGACGCAGCCAUGCCGCGUGGAUGAUGAAGGUCUUAGGAUUGUAAAAUCCUUUCACCGGGGACGAUAAUGACGGUACCCGGAGAAGAAGCCCCGGCUAACUUCGUGCCAGCAGCCGCCGCCG